rfam:Spirochaetes bacterium GWB1_59_5 gwb1_scaffold_1133, whole genome shotgun sequence.
GGGCGGUUAGCUCAGUUGGUUAGAGCACCAGUAUGACACGCUGGGGGUCACAAGUUCGACUCUUGUACCGCCCA